GGACACCUAGCAUCUCAAAAGUUUGUCCCUAUCUCCUCUCUCCACUCAUCAUUUCAUUUCCAUCACAAUUUUCACAAACUUCUCUCUCCUUCUAGGUUAAAAGUUUCAUCUAAUUGCUCUUAAAAUUUUCUUUCUACUUCUAUUCUAAAUACAUCUAUCUUUGAGUAGAUGAAGACUGUUGUAGCUGUUGGGUUUUCUAGAGAAGCAAUUUGGUGGAUUUUGUUAGUGAUUGAAGUGACGGGAGCUGUAAUAACUUCCCGAAUCCCGAAUCCUAAAGAAAAUCAACUCUAUUGUUGGAAUGUAACUUCACCUCAGGACGAAGUUCAAAGCCCAUGAUAGUUCAUAAUAAGAGCUUUGGUUGAGUUGUGGUUAGAUUUCAGCGAUGGAGUUGAAGGGGAUGGGAAAAAUCGCAGGAUACAAUGAAUCUUGUGCUUGGAUGGAUGACACUUCAGCUUUAUUGAUGAAUAGAACAGCAACGACGACCCCCUUUUCGCUAGAGCCGUCCAAAAAUCUAUUGAUUCCCAAUUUUGGUUUAAUAACUUUUACGAGCAGCAAAUGUUGUUGGGUUCUACGUAGCUAUACAUUUUUUCCUUCCUUUUAAGGUUAUUCUCCUCCAAUUCCAUUUCAUUGGCUCACUGUGGGGAUGGUUUCGAUGAAUUCUUUGAGCUUCAGCAGAUGGGCAAACAAAAGCAGUGCCUCUAAAGCUAGGGAGCUAGGGGUAAAGCUACGUACACACCACUCUACCUAAAUCCCACUUGUGGAAUUACGAAUAGAUAGAUGAUCUGUUAGUCCUAUAAUCAGAAAGUUGCUUCUCUGCUUAAUGGAAUGCUUCAUCGAAAAUAUAGUAUAAGAUGUUAUGUUAAACAUAGUAUAAGAUGUUAAAUUGUAUUAAGCAAUUAUACACCAUAAAAAUACCAUACAAAUAAAAAAUUGAAAAAAAAUGGUUAGGGACGCAGAGCAUGGAGGGAGGAGAGGGAAAAGGGAGUGUUGUGUUUGUUAAGUGGGAUUAGGGUUAUUUAAUGAAAAAAUAGGUUUUAAAAUUCUGGACCAAUUUUUCAUUUUUGGGGAAGAUUUUGGAUGGAUAUAAAUGGGAAGAAAUUUUGGGGUUUGUGUGGUGUCUGAUUUUUUUUUUUUUUUUGGCCAAUUGGCUUUUGCUUUCCUUUACCUUUUCUAUUUUCGUAAAAUUGUUUUCCUUUUCCUAAUAUAGUAAAAUGCAUAUUUUUUUUCUUUCUUUUUUUUCACAAAUGCUAUUAAUUUUAUGUAAUUACCUAAUAUAAAAAUUGUACCUUUUUAAAA